UACGGAGGGAGCUAGCGUUGUUCGGAAUUACUGGGCGUAAAGCGCACGUAGGUGGCUUUGUAAGUUAGAGGUGAAAGCCCGGGGCUCAACUCCGGAAUUGCCUCUAAGACUGCAUCGCUAGAACGUCGGAGAGGUAAGUGGAAUUCCGAGUGUAGAGGUGAAAUUCGUAGAUAUUCGGAAGAACACCAGUGGCGAAGGCGACUUACUGGACGACUGUUGACACUGAGGUGCGAAAGCGUGGGGAGCAAACAGG
rnacentral:rRNA from 1 species